rnacentral:rRNA from 1 species
UACAGAGACUACAAGCGUUACUCGGAUUCACUGGGCGUAAAGGGUGCGUAGGCGGUUGUGUGUGUUAAAUGUGAAAUCCUGGGGCUCAACUCCAGAACUGCAUUUAAAACUACACAUCUCGAGUUUUAGAGAGGUAAGCGGAAUUCUUAGUGGAGCAGUGAAAUGCAUAGAUAUUAAGAGGAACACCAAUUGCGAAGGCAGCUUACUGGAUAAAAACUGACGCUGAGGCACGAAAGCGUGGGGAGCAAAAGGG